AACGCGAAGAACCUUACCUAGACUUGACAUCUCCUGAAUAGCCGGUAACUCGGCGAAGCCUUUCGGGGCAGGAAGACAGGUGGUGCAUGGUUGUCGUCAGCUCGUGUCGUGAGAUGUUGGGUUAAGUCCCGCAACGAGCGCAACCCUUAUCAUUAGUUGCUACCAUUUAGUUGAGCACUCUAAUGAGACUGCCGUGGUUAACGCGGAGGAAGGUGGGGAUGACGUCAAAUCAUCAUGCCCCUUAUGUCUAGGGCUACACACGUGCUACAAUGGUGAGUACAAAGAGACGCAAUAUCGUGAGGUGGAGCAAAACUCAAAAACUCAUCCCAGUUCGGAUUGUAGGCUGAAACUCGCCUACAUGAAGCCGGAGUUGCUAGUAAUCGCGAAUCAGCAUGUCGCGGUGAAUACGUUCCCGGGCCUUGUA
rnacentral:rRNA from 1 species